AUUGAACGCUGGCGGCAUGCUUUACACAUGCAAGUCGAACGGUAACAGGGUGCUUGCACCGCUGACGAGUGGCGAACGGGUGAGUAAUGCGUCGGAACGUGCCGAGUAGUGGGGGAUAACGCAGCGAAAGUUGUGCUAAUACCGCAUACGUACUGAGGUAGAAAGUGGGGGACCUUCGGGCCUCACGCUAUUCGAGCGGCCGACGUCUGAUUAGCUAGUAGGUGAGGUAAGAGCUCACCUAGGCGACGAUCAGUAGCGGGUCUGAGAGGAUGAUCCGCCACACUGGGACUGAGACACGGACCAGACUCCUACGGGAGGCAGCAGUGGGGAAUUUUGGACAAUGGGCGCAAGCCUGAUCCAGCCAUGCCGCGUGUCUGAAGAAGGCCUUCGGGUUGUAAAGGACUUUUGUCAGGGAGGAAAUCCUAGUGGCUAAUAACUGCUGGGGAUGACAGUACCUGAAGAAUAAGCACCGGCUAACUACGUGCCAGCAGCCGCCGCAGUAA
rnacentral:rRNA from 1 species